rnacentral:rRNA from 1 species
GACGAACCGUGCGAACGUUGUUCGGAAUCACUGGGUUAAAGGGCGCGUAGGCGGGCUGUCAAGUCGGUGGUGAAUCGUUCCGCUCAACGGACAAUGGCCUUCGAUACUGGCGGUCUGGAGGGAGGUAGGGCAUGCGGAACUUCCGGUGGAGCGGUGAAUGCGUAGAUAUCGGAAGGAACACCGAUGGCGAAGCAGCGUGCUGGACCUUUCUGACGCUGAGGCGCGAAAGCCAGGGAGCAACGGG